UACAGAGGUGGCAAGCGUUGUUCGGAAUUACUGGGCGUAAAGGGCGCGUAGGCGGCCUUCUAAGUCGGACGUGAAAGCCCCAGGCUUAACCUGGGAACUGCGUCCGAUACUGGGAGGCUUGGAUUCGGGAGAGGGAUGUGGAAUUCCAGGUGUAGCGGUGAAAUGCGUAGAUAUCUGGAGGAACACCGGUGGCGAAGGCGGCGUUCUGGACUGCAACUGACACUGAGGAACGAAAGCCAGGGGAGCAAACGGG
rnacentral:rRNA from 1 species